UGGAUGGUGUAGGGAAUGGCAUACCAAAGAUAUACUAGGAAAGAAGACGGUGAAAAAAGUAAGAAUGCUAUAUGAUUUGUUGCAGAUACAGAUGGAGAUAUACCUAUGCAAGUUCCCAUGGGCGAGAUCUCGGAAGGCUCCUGAAAGAAAGAGGCGCUGGGACAGACUUAAAAGUUGAUGUCGCCAUGACAAAAGAGCCGACGGAAAUUGUCAGAGAAAUGGACUUGGAGCGAGUAAGGCGACUCUCUCAUUUGUUGCAGAUACAGAUGGAGAUAUAUAUGCAAGCUCCCAUGGGCGAGAUCUCGGAAGGCUCCUGAGAGAAAGAGGCGCUGGGACAGACUUAAAAGUUGAAUGCUACCCUUCAGGGAAAUUCAAUGAGGUCACAGAGAAUAUUCGACCUCGAAAGGAAACCGUGACUGUAAUCAUCGCCGGAGGCAACGAUGUCACCGUGACAAAAGAGCCAACGGAAAUUAUUGGAGAAAUGAACUUGGAGCGAGUGAGGCGACUAUCUGAGAGACAGAACGGCGGUCUGGUGGUGUGGUUAGAGCUGUUCCAUCGCCAUGACAAGGAUGCAAAAUUUAACGCACUCGUUCGGGCCGUUAAUAAACGAAUUCACAAAAAGUUAACGAGAUCGAAGGAAGAUGAAAAGAGAAUUGCGGUGAUCCAAACAUCUGGACUUAAGAGAGACGACUUUAACAAGGGUGGCCUUCACCUGAUCAAUCAGCGGAAGCAAUCUAUUUUUUCUACAAGUAUUAAUGUCUUUAUGUUCAGGAAUAAAAUUAGUGUUCACUUUU